UACCAGCUCUCCGAGUUGUAGGGACGAUUAUUGGGCUUAAAGCGUCCGUAGCUGGCUUAGCAAGUCUCCUGUUAAAUUCAGCGACCUAAUCGUUGAGCCGCGGGAGAUACUACUAGGCUAGGAGGCGGGAGAGGUCGACGGUACUUUCGGGGUAGGGGUGAAAUCCUAUAAUCCCGGGAGGACCACCAGUGGCGAAGGCUGUCGACUAGAACGCGCUCGACGGUGAGGGACGAAAGCUGGGGUAGCGAACCGGAUUAGAUACCCGGGUAGUCCCAGCUGUAAACUAUGCGGGCUAGGUGUUGGGGUGGCUACGGGCCACUUCAGUGCCGCAGGAAAGCCAUUAAGCCCGCCGCCUGGGGAGUACGGCCGCAAGGCUGAAACUUAAGGAAUUGGCGGGGGAGUACCACAAGGCGUGAAGCUUGCGGUUC
rnacentral:rRNA from 1 species